rnacentral:rRNA from 1 species
UUGGAGGGCAAGUCUGGUGCCAGCAGCCGCGGUGAUUCCAGCUCCAAUAGCGUAUAUUAAAGUUGUUGCAGUUAAAAAGCUCGUAGUUGAAUUUUAGACUUGAUCUCAUGGUCCAUCCAAUGGAUGAGUACUGUUUUGAUUGGGACUUCAUUUCUGAUAAACUUUUAUUCCCUUUAUUGGGUGUAAUAGGGAAGCAGGACCAUUACCUUGAAAAAAUUAGAGUGUUCAAAGCAGGCAAAAUUGCUCGAAUACAUUAGCAUGGAAUAAUAAAAUAGGACGGAUGAAUCUAUUUUGUUGGUUUCUAGGACCACCGUAAUGAUUAAUAGGGAUAGUUGGGGGCAUUAGUAUUCAAUUGUCAGAGGUGAAAUUCUUGGAUUUAUUGAAGACUAACUACUGCGAAAGCAUUUGCCAAGGAUGUUUUCAUUAAUCAAGAACGAAAGUUAGGGGAUCGAAGACGAUCAGAUACCGUCGUAGUCUUAACCAUAAACUAUGCCGACUAGGAAUCGGAAUUUGUUAUUAUAAUGACAAGUUCGGCGCCUUACGGGAAAC